UACGUAGGGUGCAAGCGUUAAUCGGAAUUACUGGGCGUAAAGCGUGCGCAGGCGGUUAUGCAAGACAGAUGUGAAAUCCCCGGGCUUAACCUGGGAACUGCAUUUGUGACUGCAUGGCUAGAGUUUGUCAGAGGGGGGUGGAAUUCCACGUGUAGCAGUGAAAUGCGUAGAUAUGUGGAGGAACACCGAUGGCGAAGGCAGCCCCCUGGGAUGUGACUGACGCUCAUGUACGAAAGCGUGGGGAGCAAACAGG
rnacentral:rRNA from 1 species